rnacentral:rRNA from 1 species
AGUGAACGCUGGCGGUAGGCCUAACACAUGCAAGUCGAACGGCAGCACAGUAAGAGCUUGCUCUUACGGGUGGCGAGUGGCGGACGGGUGAGGAAUACAUCGGAAUCUACUUUUUCGUGGGGGAUAACGUAGGGAAACUUACGCUAAUACCGCAUACGACCUACGGGUGGAAGCAGGGGAUCUUCGGACCUUGCGUGAUUGAAUGAGCCGAUGUCGGAUUAGAUAGUUGGCGGGGUAAGGGCCCACCAAGGCGACGAUCCGUAGCUGGGCUGAGAGGAUGAUCAGCCACACUGGAACUGAGACACGGUCCAGACUCCUACGGGAGGCAGCAGUGGGGAAUAUUGGACAAUGGGCGCAAGCCUGAUCCAGCCAUACCGCGUGGGUGAAGAAGGCCUUCGGGUUGUAAAGCCCUUUUGUUGGGAAAGAAAAGCAGCAGGUUAAUACCCCGCUGUUCUGACGGUACCCAAAGAAUAAGCACCGGCUAACUUCGUG